CUACGGGGGGCAGCAGUGAGGAAUAUUGCACAAUGGGGGGAACCCUGAUGCAGCAACGCCGCGUGGAGGAUGACGCAUUUCGGUGUGUAAACUCCUUUUAUAUGUCAAGAAAAUGACGGUAGCAUAUGAAUAAGCACCGGCUAACUCCGUGCCAGCAGCCGCGGUAAUACGGAGGGUGCAAGCGUUACUCGGAAUCACUGGGCGUAAAGGACGCGUAGGCGGGCUUGUAAGUCAGGUGUGAAAUCCUACAGCUUAACUGUAGAACUGCACUUGAAACUACGAGCCUAGAGUAUGGGAGGGGGAGGUGGAAUUAGUGGUGUAGGGGUAAAAUCCGUAGAUAUCACUAGGAAUACCUAAAGCGAAGGCGAUCUCCUGGAACAUAACUGACGCUAAGGCGUGAAAGCGUGGGGAGCAAACAGGAUUAGAUACCCGGGUAGUC
rnacentral:rRNA from 1 species